GGUCAGCUCGCUAUAGAUCAUCCGGAUUUUCGAAAUUUGGAUUACAAAAAAGCCGUUAAUACAAUUUUUGGAAAUCCGGAGUCUGCCGAAGUAGUUCACCAUUCGCUGAAUCUUUCAUCGGCCUGUCCUGAAGAAUAUAUGCCGUAUACAAAUUAUACGUAUGACUUCAGGGCGAUGAUCGAUUUUGUUUUUUAUGGAACAUCUAAUAUGAGACCAAUAGGAUUCUAUGGUCCUAUACAUGAUCAGUGGUUCCAAGAUAACAUGAUAGUGGGCUGCCCUAAUCGGCACAUUCCAUCGGAUCACUUUCCUCUGGUGGUACAUUUCAAGAUGGUAACUUGAAGAGUCAGUUAUCGAUUACGUGGCUGUAAAAGGUACUACAUCUUACUCUUUUUCGUCGGCUGUACAUCGGUCCUAAUACACUGAGAGACAAAUUUAUUCGCCUAGAAUAAAGACGCGUACUAAAAUUUCUUCCAAAGUACCACUACAGGCGUGUUCAGAAACACACUCUAGAAGAGAAAUAUUCAACUCCUGCACGGAGAGAAGAAAAUGGUAAUAAUUACCAUUCUACAUGGCAACUCGUCCUAUUAUUCAAAGCAUAGGAAUCGAUACUAUGUAGUAUGGGAAUGAUUACCAUUCUUCUGUUAAUAUUUACUAUGCUACAUAAUAAUCAUGCUACUGGUAAAUAUUACUUUGUAGCAUAGUAAUCAAAGCCAUGCUAGAAUGGUACUGAGUCCCAUGCUGUAUAUCGUGGAUGCAGUUUGAGUA